AGAGCUGGAAAUGCAAUCACUGCAACCAAAUCCAAAUGUAAUUGUCAAAGGCAGAACUUGAUGCCGGCGAUGAAUUUAGAA